rnacentral:misc_RNA from 1 species
CAAAAUAAAAAGCCCCCCUCGGGGGGCUUGACGGUGAGGGGGCUACGCCCCCGAACUGUUAAACCCUUUGUGAAAACCCUCCGUUGCCUCGGCGGCACUCCCCUUGCCGCGCGGCGCUCCCAUGCGCUGCGCCGAAGGGGGACGGUCAGCCCGCCGGCGGCACCCAACCAAAACCCAUAACCAUUUUGAAGAAGCUGUCUGAAACCUAAAGUCGAAUGACUAUA